AGGCAUAUGCACCGCCUUUUAUCAGUGUCAGAAAUUUAUGGUUUUUGGUCUACCCCAUAUUUAUCUGCGCUUAUCCGUGGUGCCGCUCACAAUUCACAUCUCUGAGGCUAGGGGUAGGGACCUUCUUAUACUGUCUUUCUUGACCGACGGACUGACUCGCCGGGUCCCCGCUCCUCGGGACCAGCCCCUCCUCCGUGCCGGAUCGCGCAUCGGCUUGGAGGCCCCUCGGGCUGCUGCCAGUGCGGGAGUCCUGUGUGGCCGUGCGGGCUGGGGACCGAGCGGCGGGGCCCGUGUGCGUUCCUGGCGAGGGCUUGCUGGGGCUGGCCGGGAUCUGAGGUUGGUAUGUUCAUGUAAAGAGUGACACUCCCUCCUUUUCCUUUUUAUCAUCAUCCCAGUUCACGUGCAGGGACUAGAUUGCUGGCUAGAUCUUCCUAACUCAACCACUUGAUAUUAAACUCUGUACGUGUAUAGCUAGAUUGCUUGCUAGAUCUUGCUUUAUAACUUAUUCAUUGCCUGCCAUACAAAGGUUCCGGUUUUGAAUUUUGUUUCAGAUUUUAAUUUUUGUUCUAGCUCUUUUUUGUACAGACAAUGUGUAUGCCGUUUAAACAAUGAUUAUGACAUUGCGAGGCCUGGUAUAGAUUGUAUUUAUUAUUUAUUUAUUUCCAGUUUUGGUUAAGAGUUGUUUCUUGAUACACCUACGUGCUCUUCAAUUGCAGGUCCAUGAUGCAGUUCUACCUCUCUACGUGCUUUUAUAAUCAUGUGUUUGUUUUAAUUUGAUUUUCUCAUAUAUACAUUGUAGGUUUUCCUAUUUAUGUUUCUUGCUGUCACAAAAACGCUAUCUUUGUUGUGGCCAAAUAAUAAGUAGAGACAAACAUUGCCGCUACAUUAUGUGCUUAUUCCAUCAUAUGUAAAUAUUAAAUUAAUACGCGAUCAUCCCUCACAGUAAGUGACACCUUUUAUUUCGUAUAUCAGAUGUAUAAUGCACAAUCAUCUCUCGCUGUACGUGAGGACCAUCAAAAGGUUUGCUAAAGUUUAAAAAGUGCCCAAUUGAUAGGUCACGUCAGCAUUGGGCGUGCAUCUCUAGAACAGAAGGAGUGGAAUAGAAGGCAUUAGGUAUGUGGUUACGGCUUGCUGUGUUCGCCGGGCUCUCUCGAACAUGAAGAAGAUGUGCUACCAUGAAUUCCACAUCUUGCCGCUUGUUGUUUAAUGGUAUUCACUUUGAUCUGUAUGAAUACUUGAUUAGUUCAUUUUCAUUUAUAGCAUUGUAGAUGUUCGCCUCUGCUACUCGAUUUUCAUAAUGGAACAUCCAGUUUAGGUGGGCCAAACAGCCGGUAAGCUUAAGAAUUGGUGGUAAGCUCUUGCAAGAACUUGCAAGCUUCUUGUGUUAAAUUUCAUUUAUGUGCCUGUAUUUGUUCUUGAAUCCUUGUUCUUUUUGUGUACUUUAUACGGAGGUUGCAGUAACUCACAGCACUACAGUUUUCUUUCCCUGUACUUUGUAACAUAUAGGUGUACAUAGUUACUGUUAUUUGCGUUUUGAUUAAAAUGAGAACAUAAUUCUUAUGAUCUACAAUGUCCGUAUAGUGUAUCUCUUCUAGAUGGAAAGGUGUGCGGAAGGGAUUUGUACCACCGGGUAGCAAUUGAACAGGAAGAGGCUUAGUAAGGAUAAAAUAGUAGAAGAGCACUAGAGGAUGCUUCAAGGAAUUGUAAAGCGGGAUGAGAAGUGUCGCAAAAGAAUCAAUUCUGCUGGUAUCGAUUACGAGUGUCCAGCCCCUGUAAGUAACACUUGAUGUUGUUCAUUGAUUUAAUAAAUUGAUCUUACUUCAACAGAUUUGAAUUAGCUCAGCAAUUUGCCACAUAAUUGUAAUUGUAUUAAGAAAAUUUCAACUUUUUGUUGACCUGGAGCAAAAGGCAUGCAAUAGUAGUGCCCUGGAGCCAAAUUUGCAUGUGUUACUGUGUAGGUCCUUGAUAUUUAUAGUACUGGUUGUUUAUUCUUAUCUACAUUUGCUUACUGAAAUAAUUUAUCUAUUGGCACCAAGGUUUGUCCCAGGCUUUGCUUAACCAUAUUUUGAGUUGUGCUUCAAUUGUUUUUCGUUUCAUGCCGUAUGUGGCAGUUACUCUCUGGAGAUAAGUUGUACCGAAUAAACAGUUCAUAAUUGAUCACUACAUUAGCUCCAUGUAAUCUCAUGUAAAAAUGCAGCUCCAUGACCCGCUUGAAAGAGAGGAGAAGGGUUGCCUCCCAUCCGUCUCAUCCCAUCCCCUUGUGCCAUCCAUGAAAGAGAGGAGGGAGUGCAGAAAUGAGCGUGGUGGCAAUGCGCUGAUGCUGGCCGGUUGAGGCAUGGUCGACGUUUCAGUCAAGGGGUCCCUGCAUUUGUGAAUAUGAUGGUCGGCUCACUGUGGCGGUCGGCCAUGGAAUAGUUGUGAGGGAGAGCACCCCUUUAGCGCCUCUCCGCAUAGUUCUUCCUUCCCCUACUGCCGGUCAACACUUCGAUAUCCUUGUCCAAGGCCGGCGUGUACAGUUUCAGCCUCGUUCCCAUGGAUGGCAAAGUAUGUCUUGUCAUGAUGCGCAGAAAUCUUCUAAGUUGCCGCUGAAGGGAGAAGACAUGGGGUCGGAAAAAUGUUAAGAUUGACUUGAUGUGUGGUAAGGAAAAGCCAGUAGAAAAGUUUUUGAUGCUUGAGCAUUCACUACUCAGUUAUUCUUUUAGGUACGCAUAAUCUUCCAAGUUAUAAUCAAUUCCUUUUAUUUGGGCACGCAUAAUGACCAUUCCUCGGCAUCAAGUUCUUCUGAUGUGAAGAGGAGUUCCUGAUACUAGAUGAACAUACCAGCCUACUUGCCUACAACCAAGGUAGAAUUAUCAGCGGAGACACCACAGUCAGAGCUGGUGACUGAAGAAAGCCUACAGAUAGCUACCAUCAAUGUCUUUUUUUUAGCCAAGAUCUUGCACGUGACCGUUGUUUUCGAAGCCUUAUCUGCAGUUGAGAAUAUAAGGCGAGAAGACGCAGGUGCACGAUACAUUGGAUACUACAAAGUAGACACGGUUCUACAAACGACAUGGCAGAAUAUCUAUACCAUAGUUGAAGCAAAGCACCCUAUAUCCAUUAAAAUAAAUAGUAUACGGAUUCUAACGUCAAGGAAGAAAAUGAGACAAUAACAUUUGAUGAAUAUUCAAGUUCUUGGUAGAAAGUAGGAGUGCUUAUGAGGGGUGCUGCUAUAAGGGGAUGGCGGUAAUCAGAAAAAAAUUGCAAUUCGGUGAAAUAACUACCUCAUAGAAGAGUUAAUUGGUUUCGAUGUAGGAAAAAUCUGCAGGCUGGUUAAGCUUUGAUGUAUAAAUAGUAGCACUUCGCUUUGUGUAAAAAAAGUUCUUGCUAAGGUUAUUCAAUGGGCUAAGUUUUCUAAACAGUGUUGACUUGAUAUUACAGUACUAAAAUCUCGA